UGCUCAAAAAAGUUCCUAACCUGCCCAGGGCCAUGUGGCUGGUGCUACGUAAGGGACUGGAGAAGGAUGAAGUUUCAAUCUGUGUUCCAAGGAGCUCAGACUACCAGAGUGGACACAUCUGUAAAGCAGCACUUGCUAUUUUGUGUUGCAGGUCCUACUGGGCAAUGGAGGAGAAGAUCAGUCACCAGAGAAGAUCAGAAAAGGGCUCAGAGGGAGGCAACAUUAAACACUGACUGUCUAGAUCACCGCUUAGCAGAGAGGACCUCAGACUGAGAUUGAAAUUUGUGUGCAUCCACGUGAAAAGUAUUGCUUGGUACAUUCUCAGAAUUCUCAUCCCAAAGUGCAGCCUGUGAGGUCAGGAUCUUGUGUUUCCUCCUGUGGCCUCCACGUGCCCGGUAGAGUGAAGCACCCAGCAGUUCCUCAGGACGAGCAUCACCACUGACCACGCCCAUCCCAGGGACAAGCAUGGACCGCGCCUCUGACUGGGAUGCUCUGCUCCUCCAUGUCCAGCUCCUCCAUGUCCUCACAGUCCUUCCACUGGCCAUGGGAGGUCUUGUCUGACACUAAAUCUAAAUCAGGCUUCCUCUCUCU